GCUAGGAAGUCGCUUCCAUACCCGGUGCUGGCACAGGGCAGAGCCAGGGCAGGAAGCCUGGAGCUCUCAGGCCCACCUGGCUGCCGACUUGUCCAAGCUUCCCAGCCCAGGCCCGGGUGUGGGGAGGAAGGAGGAAUCAAGGGAGUCCGUAGAUGGGGCAGCCCUGGGGGCAGACCCAGGCCUCUCUGGGCCUCAGUCUCUCCAGCUGUUAGGUGGGACUAUCAAUCCCCGCUCUCUGACUUCACCCAUUUAUUCAUUUAUUGAUAUGGAUACUGAGCACAAGCACCGCAGUGCAUCCUGGGAUGAGCAUCAGUGCCGGGGCCCUGGCCGCACAGAGCUCAUAGACUCACAGGGAUUGGGAAGUUCAUGGAAAUGUGGUGCUGACAAGCUGUGGACACGGCCAGACCAGACUAUGAGAAGCACCUGCGGCUGGGUUACUGUUUACACCUUCUUUGCUGGGGACGACCUGGAGAAUAAGAGCUGCCCAAAGAUGUCCUUGGAUGCUUAUUCCAAUGAGAUGACCUCAGUCCUCUGCGGUGAAGACAGCCUAGUUACCUCUGGGGUGAUCACAUCCAGAGAAAGAGGAGGUGCCUGGGCCAGUGACAAGGAACCUUGUCUGAGGAGGGGGCUGCUACCCCUGCUGCCAAAGGCUGAGAGCCCAGGGAAGCACACCCCAGCCUUCUUCUGGGGACCGAGGUGACGGGGGUGUGACACCGGAGCCUCCCCAGGAGUACAAGCCAGCCCAGCUUUGAGAGAUAGAGAGCAAGAAACCGAUAUCCAGGGGAAGCCAGAGGCCGACUCCAUCUACCGUUGCCACCAUGAAAGCCCCUCCGCCUUCCCCCGACGGGCCUGUCGCGCUGUCUUAAGAGAAACCCUCAUCUCCUCUGCCUGGCGCGCAUCGUCGCCAAGAAGGGAGGGAGCCGAGGGAGACGCACUAAUGGGGAACGCCUCGGCACAGGAGAAGACACAAUGGAUAAAAGAAGAAAGCGCAUCCAAACACGAGUUCUUGUUCUCGAGAAGAAGGGCCAAGCCUGACUUUAUAGCAACAGCUUUGAGAGCAGCAGCGGUGGGAUUUCACGGCAGAGGUUCCGCGGGAAAAUCAAUAAGCGGGGCCGCUGUUUGGAGAGGCAGCAAGAAAGGCCACUAACGAGGCCAGAUUGUAACAGUUCUGCGAGCAGCCACAAUGCUCACCUUACACGGCGCGGCCGCGCGUUAGUAAAUAAUAAAUCACAGCGGCCGGCGGGCGGCGGCGGCGGCGCCGGACAGAACGCAGCGCGUUUGACUGCAAAGCAGACCCGGGGCCAUGAAUUAUUCACCGCCGCGCGGAGAUAAAACACGGCCGCGGGAGGAGGCGCAGCCCUGCAAACAGGUGCCCGGCGCGGAAA